rnacentral:rRNA from 1 species
UACGUAGGGGGCGAGCGUUGUCCGGAUUUAUUGGGCGUAAAGCGCGUGUAGGCGGCUUUGCAAGUCGGGUGUGAAAGCCCUCAGCUCAACUGAGGAAGUGCGCCCGAAACUGCAGAGCUUGAGUGCCGGAGAGGGUGGCGGAAUUCCCCAAGUAGAGGUGAAAUUCGUAGAUAUGUGGAGGAAUACCGAUGGCGAAGGCAGCCCCUGGGAUA